AUUUACAUAUUGUCCAUCCUGUGACAUAAGCUUUGCAAAUGUUCACUCUUGUAUUCAGUGUGUGAUGGUUCGGUGGUUAAAUUUUUGACUACGGAAGCGAAGGCACCGGUGUUUGCAAUAACUCGGCCGUUAUACCGAUAGAAGUGCAGGAUAACAUAAAAUAAGGCAGGGUGGAAUCGCUACGCUAUACUGGUCUGGAACACUAUCGGAUGGAUAGGCUACAUUUUUACCGGCAGGAAGGGCCGGAGCGGAGUGACUGGCCCAAAUAUUAUGGUCCUCAAGAGGUGUGCGAGAUGAUGCAGUGCUUCCACAAGGCAGUGAAAAAAUCGGUACGUCCUACUGGCCUGGAACCGAGCCUCAAAGCCGAGGAUGGAUAGCACCGGUCGGUGUGGAUAGGUUACAAUUUUGCCAGCCGGAACGACUGUGCCUAACAUUACGGUGCUCUGGAGAUGCGGAAAAGGACGCAGCGCUGCCGCAAGAUAUGUUUUUUAUUACAAACAAGCAGACGUAAGACAUAGUAAAAUAUGUUAUAGGCAUAAUUGAAAGCCAAUACAAUCGAUUGUCUUGAUUUAGGUUUAACUUAUUUUUAA